rnacentral:rRNA from 1 species
UUAAGCGACUAAGCGUACACGGUGGAUGCCCUGGCAGUCAGAGGCGAUGAAGGACGUGCUAAUCUGCGAAAAGCGCCGGCGAGGUGAUAUGAACCUUUGACCCGGCGAUGUCCGAAUGGGGAAACCCAGUGUGUUCCGACACACUAUCGUUAACUGAAUACAUAGGUUAACGAGGCGAACCGGGGGAACUGAAACAUCUAAGUACCCCGAGGAAAAGAAAUCAACCGAGAUUCCCCCAGUAGCGGCGAGCGAACGGGGAGCAGCCCAGAGUCUGAAUCAGCUUGUGUGUUAGUGGAAGCGUCUGGAAAGUCGCACGGUACAGGGUGAAAGUCCCGUACACGAAAGCACACAGGCUGUGAACUCGAAGAGUAGGGCGGGACACGUGGUAUCCUGUCUGAAUAUGGGGGGACCAUCCUCCAAGGCUAAAUACUCCUGACUGACCGAUAGUGAACCAGUACCGUGAGGGAAAGGCGAAAAGAACCCCGGCGAGGGGAGUGAAAAAGAACCUGAAACCGUGUACGUACAAGCAGUGGGAGCCUCUUUUAUGGGGUGACUGCGUACCUUUUGUAUAAUGGGUCAGCGACUUAUAUUCUGUAGCAAGGUUAACCGUAUAGGGGAGCCGAAGGGAAACCGAGUCUUAACUGGGCGUUAAGUUGCAGGGUAUAGACCCGAAACCCGGUGAUCUAGCCAUGGGCAGGUUGAAGGUUGGGUAACACUAACUGGAGGACCGAACCGACUAAUGUUGAAAAAUUAGCGGAUGACUUGUGGCUGGGGGUGAAAGGCCAAUCAAACCGGGAGAUAGCUGGUUCUCCCCGAAAGCUAUUUAGGUAGCGCCUCGUGAACUCAUCUUCGGGGGUAGAGCACUGUUUCGGCUAGGGGGCCAUCCCGGCUUACCAACCCGAUGCAAACUACGAAUACCGAAGAAUGUUAUCACGGGAGACACACGGCGGGUGCUAACGUCCGUCGUGAAGAGGGAAACAACCCAGACCGCCAGCUAAGGUCCCAAAGUCAUGGUUAAGUGGGAAACGAUGUGGGAAGGCACAGACAGCCAGGAUGUUGGCUUAGAAGCAGCCAUCAUUUAAAGAAAGCGUAAUAGCUCACUGGUCGAGUCGGCCUGCGCGGAAGAUGUAACGGGGCUAAACCAUGCACCGAAGCUGCGGCAGCGACACUAUGUGUUGUUGGGUAGGGGAGCGUUCUGUAAGCCGUUGAAGGUGUCCUGUGAGGGGUGCUGGAGGUAUCAGAAGUGCGAAUGCUGACAUAAGUAACGAUAAAGCGGGUGAAAAGCCCGCUCGCCGGAAGACCAAGGGUUCCUGUCCAACGUUAAUCGGGGCAGGGUGAGUCGACCCCUAAGGCGAGGCCGAAAGGCGUAGUCGAUGGGAAACAGGUUAAUAUUCCUGUACUUGGUGUUACUGCGAAGGGGGGACGGAGAAGGCUAUGUUAGCCGGGCGACGGUUGUCCCGGUUUAAGCAUGUAGGCGGAGGUUCCAGGUAAAUCCGGUUCCUUGUUAACGCUGAGGUGUGAUGACGAGGCACUACGGUGCUGAAGUAACAAAUGCCCUGCUUCCAGGAAAAGCCUCUAAGCAUCAGGUAACAUCAAAUCGUACCCCAAACCGACACAGGUGGUCAGGUAGAGAAUACCAAGGCGCUUGAGAGAACUCGGGUGAAGGAACUAGGCAAAAUGGUGCCGUAACUUCGGGAGAAGGCACGCUGAUAUGUAGGUGAAGCCCCUGCGGGUGGAGCUGAAAUCAGUCGAAGAUACCAGCUGGCUGCAACUGUUUAUUAAAAACACAGCACUGUGCAAACACGAAAGUGGACGUAUACGGUGUGACGCCUGCCCGGUGCCGGAAGGUUAAUUGAUGGGGUUAGCGGCAACGCGAAGCUCUUGAUCGAAGCCCCGGUAAACGGCGGCCGUAACUAUAACGGUCCUAAGGUAGCGAAAUUCCUUGUCGGGUAAGUUCCGACCUGCACGAAUGGCGUAAUGAUGGCCAGGCUGUCUCCACCCGAGACUCAGUGAAAUUGAACUCGCUGUGAAGAUGCAGUGUACCCGCGGCAAGACGGAAAGACCCCGUGAACCUUUACUAUAGCUUGACACUGAACACUGGUCCUUGAUGUGUAGGAUAGGUGGGAGGCUUUGAAGCGUGGACGCCAGUCUGCGUGGAGCCAACCUUGAAAUACCACCCUUUAAUGGCUGGUGUUCUAACGUAGACCCGUGAUCCGGGUUGCGGACAGUGUCUGGUGGGUAGUUUGACUGGGGCGGUCUCCUCCCAAAGAGUAACGGAGGAGCACGAAGGUUAGCUAAUCCUGGUCGGACAUCAGGAGGUUAGUGCAAUGGCAUAAGCUAGCUUGACUGCGAGAGUGACGGCUCGAGCAGGUGCGAAAGCAGGUCAUAGUGAUCCGGUGGUUCUGAAUGGAAGGGCCAUCGCUCAACGGAUAAAAGGUACUCCGGGGAUAACAGGCUGAUACCGCCCAAGAGUUCAUAUCGACGGCGGUGUUUGGCACCUCGAUGUCGGCUCAUCACAUCCUGGGGCUGAAGUAGGUCCCAAGGGUAUGGCUGUUCGCCAUUUAAAGUGGUACGCGAGCUGGGUUUAGAACGUCGUGAGACAGUUCGGUCCCUAUCUGCCGUGGGCGCUGGAGAAUUGAGGGGGGCUGCUCCUAGUACGAGAGGACCGGAGUGGACGCAUCACUGGUGUUCGGGUUGUCAUGCCAAUGGCACUGCCCGGUAGCUAAAUGCGGAAGAGAUAAGUGCUGAAAGCAUCUAAGCACGAAACUUGCCCCGAGAUGAGUUCUCCCUGAGACUUUAAGUCUCCUGAAGGAACGUUGAAGACUACGACGUUGAUAGGUCGGGUGUGUAAGCGCAGCGAUGCGUUGAGCUAACCGAUACUAAUGAACCGUGAGGCUUAACCUU